rnacentral:misc_RNA from 1 species
GAAGCGGAGCGAUGGCCUCGUUGGGCUUGGCUCCUUCAAGCAGCGCCUGACCCUUCAAUUCGUAAAAAUAAGGGUUAUUGGGCUGGACCUUGAUCAGGGCAUCAAUCUGGGAGAGGGCGCUGCGCAGAUCGCCGUGACGAUAGGUUGCGAUGGCGCGGGCGUAGCGGGCGGGCAGGCUGUCGUUCGAAGGCGGAUACCGGCGGUACACCGUGUCCGAGCGCUCCAUGAACCCGGACACUUUUGCCCGCAUCAUGUCGUGACGAAGCUGCAAGGCAGCGUCGUCCUU